rnacentral:rRNA from 1 species
GUGGGGAAUAUUGGACAAUGGGCGAAAGCCUGAUCCAGCCAUGCCGCGUGUGUGAAGAAGGUCUUCGGAUUGUAAAGCACUUUAAGUUGGGAGGAAGGGCAGUAAGUUAAUACCUUGCUGUUUUGACGUUACCGACAGAAUAAGCACCGGCUAACUUCGUGCCAGCAGCCGCGGUAAUACGAAGGGUGCAAGCGUUAAUCGGAAUUACUGGGCGUAAAGCGCGCGUAGGUGGUUUUGUAAGUUGGAGGUGAAAUCCCCGGGCUCAACCUGGGAACUGCCUCCAAAAAUGCAUGACUAGAGUACGGUAGAGGGUAGUGGAAUUUCCUGUGGAGCGGUGAAAUGCGUAGAUAUAGGAAGGAACACCAGUGGCGAAGGCGACUACCUGGACUGAUACUGACACUGAGGUGCGAAAGCGUGGGGAGCAAACAGGAUUAGAUACCCGGGUAGUCC